rnacentral:rRNA from 1 species
AUUGAACGCUGGCGGCAGGCCUAACACAUGCAAGUCGAACGAGUGGCGGACGGGUGAGUAAUGUCUGGGAAACUGCCCGAUGGAGGGGGAUAACUACUGGAAACGGUAGCUAAUACCGCAUACCAUCGGAUGUGCCCAGAUGGGAUUAGCUAGUAGGUGGGGUAACGGCUCACCGAGGUGACGAUACAUAGCCGACCUGAGAGGGUGACGGGCCACACGGGGACGGAGACACGGCCCAGACUCCUACGGUAGGCAGCAGUGGGGAAUAUGGCACAAUGGGCGCAAGCCUGAUGCAGCCAUGCCGGGUGUAUGAAGAAGGCCUUCGGGUUGUAAAGUACUUUCAGCGAGGAGGCGUGACUCGCAGAAGAAGCACCGGCUAACUCCGUGCCAGCAGCCGCGGUAAUAC